AACGUAGGACGCAAGCGUUAUCCGGAGUUACUGGGCGUAAAGCGCGGGCAGGCGGUCUUGCCAGUCUGAUGUGAAAUCUCCCCGCUCAACGGGGAGCAGCCAUUGGAAACUACAAGACUGGAGUCUGACAGAGGUAGGCGGAAUUCCGGGUGGAGUGGUGAAAUGCGCAGAUAUCAGGAGGAACACCGGUGGCGAAGGCGGGUCUCUGGGCCGUAACUGACGCUGAGGAGCGAAAGCAUGGGGAGCGAACAGG
rnacentral:rRNA from 1 species